rnacentral:rRNA from 1 species
UUGGCACUAGAAGCCGAUGAAGGACGUUACUAACGACGAUAUGCUUUGGGGAGCUGUAAGUAAGCUUUGAUCCAGAGAUUUCCGAAUGGGGAAACCCAGCAUGAGUUAUGUCAUGUUAUCGAUAUGUGAAUACAUAGCAUAUCAGAAGGCACACCCGGAGAACUGAAACAUCUUAGUACCCGGAGGAAGAGAAAGAAAAUUCGAUUCCCUUAGUAGCGGCGAGCGAAACGGGAAGAGCCCAAACCAACAAGCUUGCUUGUUGGGGUUGUAGGACACUCUGUACGGAGUUACAAAGGACGACAUUAGACGAAUCAUCUGGAAAGAUGAAUCAAAGAAGGUAAUAAUCCUGUAGUCGAAAAUGUUGUCUCUCUUGAGUGGAUCCUGAGUACGACGGAGCACGUGAAAUUCCGUCGGAAUCUGGGAGGACCAUCUCCUAAGGCUAAAUACUCUCUAGUGACCGAUAGUGAACCAGUACCGUGAGGGAAAGGUGAAAAGCACCCCGGAAGGGGAGUGAAAUAGAACCUGAAACCGUGUGCUUACAAGUAGUCAGAGCCCGUUAAUGGGUGAUGGCGUGCCUUUUGUAGAAUGAACCGGCGAGUUACGAUUUGAUGCAAGGUUAAGCAGUAAAUGUGGAGCCGUAGCGAAAGCGAGUCUGAAUAGGGCGUUUAGUAUUUGGUCGUAGACCCGAAACCAGGUGAUCUACCCUUGGUCAGGUUGAAGUUCAGGUAACACUGAAUGGAGGACCGAACCGACUUACGUUGAAAAGUGAGCGGAUGAACUGAGGGUAGCGGAGAAAUUCCAAUCGAACCUGGAGAUAGCUGGUUCUCUCCGAAAUAGCUUUAGGGCUAGCCUCAAGUGAUGAUUAUUGGAGGUAGAGCACUGUUUGGACGAGGGGCCCCUCUCGGGUUACCGAAUUCAGACAAACUCCGAAUGCCAAUUAAUUUAACUUGGGAGUCAGAACAUGGGUGAUAAGGUCCGUGUUCGAAAGGGAAACAGCCCAGACCACCAGCUAAGGUCCCAAAAUAUAUGUUAAGUGGAAAAGGAUGUGGCGUUGCCCAGACAACUAGGAUGUUGGCUUAGAAGCAGCCAUCAUUUAAAGAGUGCGUAAUAGCUCACUAGUCGAGUGACACUGCGCCGAAAAUGUACCGGGGCUAAACAUAUUACCGAAGCUGUGGAUUGUCCUUUGGACAAUGGUAGGAGAGCGUUCUAAGGGCGUUGAAGCAUGAUCGUAAGGACAUGUGGAGCGCUUAGAAGUGAGAAUGCCGGUGUGAGUAGCGAAAGACGGGUGAGAAUCCCGUCCACCGAUUGACUAAGGUUUCCAGAGGAAGGCUCGUCCGCUCUGGGUUAGUCGGGUCCUAAGCUGAGGCCGACAGGCGUAGGCGAUGGAUAACAGGUUGAUAUUCCUGUACCACCUAUAAUCGUUUUAAUCGAUGGGGGGACGCAGUAGGAUAGGCGAAGCGUGCGAUUGGAUUGCACGUCUAAGCAGUAAGGCUGAGUAUUAGGCAAAUCCGGUACUCGUUAAGGCUGAGCUGUGAUGGGGAGAAGACAUUGUGUCUUCGAGUCGUUGAUUUCACACUGCCGAGAAAAGCCUCUAGAUAGAAAAUAGGUGCCCGUACCGCAAACCGACACAGGUAGUCAAGAUGAGAAUUCUAAGGUGAGCGAGCGAACUCUCGUUAAGGAACUCGGCAAAAUGACCCCGUAACUUCGGGAGAAGGGGUGCUCUUUAGGGUUAACGCCCAGAAGAGCCGCAGUGAAUAGGCCCAAGCGACUGUUUAUCAAAAACACAGGUCUCUGCUAAACCGUAAGGUGAUGUAUAGGGGCUGACGCCUGCCCGGUGCUGGAAGGUUAAGAGGAGUGGUUAGCUUCUGCGAAGCUACGAAUCGAAGCCCCAGUAAACGGCGGCCGUAACUAUAACGGUCCUAAGGUAGCGAAAUUCCUUGUCGGGUAAGUUCCGACCCGCACGAAAGGCGUAACGAUUUGGGCACUGUCUCAACGAGAGACUCGGUGAAAUCAUAGUACCUGUGAAGAUGCAGGUUACCCGCGACAGGACGGAAAGACCCCGUGGAGCUUUACUGUAGCCUGAUAUUGAAAUUCGGCACAGCUUGUACAGGAUAGGUAGGAGCCUUUGAAACGUGAGCGCUAGCUUACGUGGAGGCGCUGGUGGGAUACUACCCUAGCUGUGUUGGCUUUCUAACCCGCACCACUUAUCGUGGUGGGAGACAGUGUCAGGCGGGCAGUUUGACUGGGGCGGUCGCCUCCUAAAAGGUAACGGAGGCGCUCAAAGGUUCCCUCAGAAUGGUUGGAAAUCAUUCAUAGAGUGUAAAGGCAUAAGGGAGCUUGACUGCGAGACCUACAAGUCGAGCAGGGUCGAAAGACGGACUUAGUGAUCCGGUGGUUCCGCAUGGAAGGGCCAUCGCUCAACGGAUAAAAGCUACCCCGGGGAUAACAGGCUUAUCUCCCCCAAGAGUUCACAUCGACGGGGAGGUUUGGCACCUCGAUGUCGGCUCAUCGCAUCCUGGGGCUGUAGUCGGUCCCAAGGGUUGGGCUGUUCGCCCAUUAAAGCGGUACGCGAGCUGGGUUCAGAACGUCGUGAGACAGUUCGGUCCCUAUCCGUCGUGGGCGUAGGAAAUUUGAGAGGAGCUGUCCUUAGUACGAGAGGACCGGGAUGGACAUACCUCUGGUGUACCAGUUGUCGUGCCAACGGCAUAGCUGGGUAGCUAUGUGUGGACGGGAUAAGUGCUGAAAGCAUCUAAGCAUGAAGCCCCCCUCAAGAUGAGAUUUCCCAACUUCGGUUAUAAGAUCCCUCAAAGAUGAUGAGGUUAAUAGGUUCGAGGUGGAAGCAUGGUGACAUGUGGAGCUGACGAAUACUAAUCGAUCGAAGACUUAAUCAA